UACGUAGGGUGCAAGCGUUGUCCGGAAUUAUUGGGCGUAAAGAGCUCGUAGGCGGUCUGUCGCGUCGGCUGUGAAAUCCCGGGGCUCAACUCCGGGUCUGCAUUCGAUACGGGCGGACUAGAGUUCGGUAGGGGAGACUGGAAUUCCUGGUGUAGCGGUGAAAUGCGCAGAUAUCAGGAGGAACACCGGUGGCGAAGGCGGGUCUCUGGGCCGAUACUGACGCUGAGGAGCGAAAGCGUGGGGAGCGAACAGG
rnacentral:rRNA from 1 species